rnacentral:rRNA from 1 species
CGUGAAGAGGGAAACAACCCAGACCGCCAGCUAAGGUCCCAAAGUCAUGGUUAAGUGGGAAACGAUGUGGGAAGGCACAGACAGCCAGGAUGUUGGCUUAGAAGCAGCCAUCAUUUAAAGAAAGCGUAAUAGCUCACUGGUCGAGUCGGCCUGCGCGGAAGAUGUAACGGGGCUAAACCAUGCACCGAAGCUGCGGCAGCGACGCUUAUGCGUUGUUGGGUAGGGGAGCGUUCUGUAAGCCUGCGAAGGUGGCCUGUGAGGGCUGCUGGAGGUAUCAGAAGUGCGAAUGCUGACAUAAGUAACGAUAAAGCGGGUGAAAAGCCCGCUCGCCGGAAGACCAAGGGUUCCUGUCCAACGUUAAUCGGGGCAGGGUGAGUCGACCCCUAAGGCGAGGCCGAAAGGCGUAGUCGAUGGGAAACAGGUUAAUAUUCCUGUACUUGGUGUUACUGCGAAGGGGGGACGGAGAAGGCUAUGUUAGCCGGGCGACGGUUGUCCCGGUUUAAGCAUGUAGGCGGAGGUUCCAGGUAAAUCCGGUACCUUUUAACGCUGAGGUGUGAUGACGAGGCACUACGGUGCUGAAGUAACAAAUGCCCUGCUUCCAGGAAAAGCCUCUAAGCAUCAGGUAACAUCAAAUCGUACCCCAAACCGACACAGGUGGUCAGGUAGAGAAUACCAAGGCGCUUGAGAGAACUCGGGUGAAGGAACUAGGCAAAAUGGUGCCGUAACUUCGGGAGAAGGCACGCUGGUGUGUAGGUGAAGUCCCUGCGGAUGGAGCUGAGACCAGUCGAAGAUACCAGCUGGCUGCAACUGUUUAUUAAAAACACAGCACUGUGCAAACACGAAAGUGGACGUAUACGGUGUGACGCCUGCCCGGUGCCGGAAGGUUAAUUGAUGGGGUUAUCCGUAAGGAGAAGCUCUUGAUCGAAGCCCCGGUAAACGGCGGCCGUAACUAUAACGGUCCUAAGGUAGCGAAAUUCCUUGUCGGGUAAGUUCCGACCUGCACGAAUGGCGUAAUGAUGGCCAGGCUGUCUCCACCCGAGACUCAGUGAAAUUGAACUCGCUGUGAAGAUGCAGUGUACCCGCGGCAAGACGGAAAGACCCCGUGAACCUUUACUAUAGCUUGACACUGAACAUUGAGCCUUGAUGUGUAGGAUAGGUGGGAGGCUUUGAAGCGUGGACGCCAGUCUGCGUGGAGCCAACCUUGAAAUACCACCCUUUAAUGUUUGAUGUUCUAACGUUGGCCCCUNACCGGGGUUGCGGACAGUGUCUGGUGGGUAGUUUGACUGGGGCGGUCUCCUCCCAAAGCGUAACGGAGGAGCACGAAGGUUAGCUAAUCCUGGUCGGACAUCAGGAGGUUAGUGCAAUGGCAUAAGCUAGCUUGACUGCGAGCGUGACGGCGCGAGCAGGUGCGAAAGCAGGUCAUAGUGAUCCGGUGGUUCUGAAUGGAAGGGCCAUCGCUCAACGGAUAAAAGGUACUCCGGGGAUAACAGGCUGAUACCGCCCAAGAGUUCAUAUCGACGGCGGUGUUUGGCACCUCGAUGUCGGCUCAUCACAUCCUGGGGCUGAAGUAGGUCCCAAGGGUAUGGCUGUUCGCCAUUUAAAGUGGUACGCGAGCUGGGUUUAGAACGUCGUGAGACAGUUCGGUCCCUAUCUGCCGUGGGCGCUGGAGAAUUGAGGGGGGCUGCUCCUAGUACGAGAGGACCGGAGUGGACGCAUCACUGGUGUUCGGGUUGUCAUGCCAAUGGCACUGCCCGGUAGCUAAAUGCGGAAGAGAUAAGUGCUGAAAGCAUCUAAGCACGAAACUUGCCCCGAGAUGAGUUCUCCCUGAGACUUUAAGUCUCCUGAAGGAACGUUAAAGACGAUGACGUUGAUAGGCCGGGUGUGUAAGCGCAGCGAUGCGUUGAGCUAACCGGUACUAAUGAACCGUGAGGCUUAACCUU